GUGCCUGCUUCACCAGCACAUCUUCUAGAAGUGAAGUGAUACGGAGAAGAUUUGAAUGAUCCUCGCCCAAGGAAGACCCACAAAGCCAAGAAUCAUUUGUAUUUUUAA
rnacentral:snRNA from 1 species